rnacentral:rRNA from 1 species
GAUGAACGCUGGCGGCGUGCUUAACACAUGCAAGUCGAACGAUGAAGCCCAGCUUGCUGGGUGGAUUAGUGGCGAACGGGUGAGUAACACGUGAGUAACCUGCCCUUGACUCUGGGAUAAGCCUGGGAAACUGGGUCUAAUACCGGAUAGGAACGUCCACCGCAUGGUGGUUGUUGGAAAGAUUUAUCGGUCAUGGAUGGACUCGCGGCCUAUCAGCUUGUUGGUGAGGUAAUGGCUCACCAAGGCGACGACGGGUAGCCGGCCUGAGAGGGUGACCGGCCACACUGGGACUGAGACACGGCCCAGACUCCUACGGGAGGCAGCAGUGGGGAAUAUUGCACAAUGGGCGAAAGCCUGAUGCAGCGACGCCGCGUGAGGGAUGACGGCCUUCGGGUUGUAAACCUCUUUCAGUAGGGAAGAAGCGAAAGUGACGGUACCUGCAGAAGAAGCACCGGCUAACUACGUGCCAGCCGCCGCAGUAAAAC